rnacentral:tRNA from 1 species
UGCGGGAUAGAGCAGUGGUCAGCUCACUGGGCUCAUAACUCAGAGGUCAUGUGGUUCGAAUCCCAUUCCCGCUACCA